rnacentral:ncRNA from 1 species
AAGGUCUUGGUCUUAAACCUUUUAUUGUCUGCACUCACUAAUUAUACAUGCAAGCCUCACCACAACAGUGAAAUAACCCACCAAAAUACUGGUGGAGUCGGCAUCAGGCAAUCCACCCACAACACCAAGCACUAAGCCACACCCCCACGGGUCUACAGCAGUAAUUAAUAUUAGGCCAUAAACGAAAGUUUGACCUAGUAAGUGACCAUCAGGGCCGGUUAAUCUCGUGCCAGCGACCGCGGUUACACGACAGACCCAAGACAAUACCAUCGGCGUAAAGCACGACUAGACUACUGUAUAACCAUUAGGAAUGAAACUAAACCAGGCCGUAAAAAGCCAUAAGUUAUACUAAUAUAAUUUCCUAACACAAACAACCUCAACUCGUGAAAGCAAGGAUACAAACUAAGAUUAGAUACCUUACUAUGCCUAGCCCUAAAAUAACAAUUAAAUUACUUAUUGUUCGCCUAAUAACUACGAGUUAAAACUUAAAAUUUAAAAGACUUGACGGUACUUCACAACAACCUAGAGGAGCCUGUCUAAUAACCGAUACCCCACGAUUAACCCCACCCGCCCUGGCCAGUCAGUCUAUAUACCGCCGUCGCCAGCUUACCUUAUGAAAGAAACAAAGUGAGCCAAACAACAUACAUUAACACGACAGGUCGAGGUGUAACUAAUGAGCGGGUCAAAGAUGGGCUACAUUUUCUGCUAUAGAAAAUACGAAUCAACUAUGAAACUAGAAACUAAAGGCGGAUUUAGCAGUAAGCUAACGACAAAAUACUUAGCUAAAACUACAGCAAUGAAGUGUGUACACACCGCCCGUCAUCCCUGUAAAACACCUAUAUAAUAUAUAAUACAUUUCAUAACCAAAACAGGGCAAGUCGUAACACGGUAAGCGUACUGGAAAGUGCGCUUAGAA